GGGACAGGAGCCGCUUCAGGAAGUCCAAGAUCCACUGUGUAUCACCUGGGAUCCACGGGCCUGUAUUUACCAGGGACACGCUCUCACUAGGCUAAAGAUCGGACAGUGAAUUUUCUCAAGACCCAGGACGUCAGGAAAAGCCUGGUGACACUUCUCCAUGCUGGUCAUUUGUGUCCGUAAACCUAACAGCUCUGAAGGACUGAGGUACUGAAGCUGCAUCCUAACUUAAGAAGAAAAAGAGAAAAUAAUUUAAACAAGCAGAGGCAUUCCAUCAGCCAUUCCACUCCGCAGGACGUGCUAGGAAGGGGCCCUGAGGUGGAAGAAAGAAUAUCCUCUAUCAGAAACAGUUUAGGACCCGUUACCCUCUCAUAAGAAGGAAAAGGGUUGACUGUUCAGACUUAGCAGACCGUUUGAGACACCAAAGCAUUCUUUCCACUCCCGCCAACUGUUGGUGAAAGGGAAAUAAUACUGGUUUGUAAGAGCAAUGGCAGAAUUACGCCGUGAACACAAUUCUCAAUGCUUUCUGCUGUUGUGGACUUGGGGGCAGCAGUGAUGGCCCAGGUUCCUGCCGCCUACCUGGACGACCUGGACUGAGCUCCCAGAUUCAGCCGUGGCCGUCUCGGGACUUCGGGGAGUAAAUCGGCACGGGAAAGCCUGAUUCGGGCUCACACACACUUUUGUCAAAUAAGUAAGUUUUUUACAACAUUAUGAACAAAGUGACAAGUUGGUCUCGAAGUCUACCCAGUUCUAUGUUUCUCAACUCUCAUCCUUUUUUCACUGUUUUUACUUUCUCCAUGUCUUUGUCCCCAUCAAAAUCUUUCUCCCUAACUGACCAAUAUACAGACUAACCAGUGUACUUUUUAAAGAUUUUUUUUUUUUUUUUUUUUUUGAAACACAGAGUCAGAGAGGGAGAUACAGAGAGAUCCUUCACAUGCUUGUUAACUCCCCAGAUGGCCACAGCAGUCCGGGCUAGGCCAGGCCAAAGCCAGGAGCCAAGAGCCUCUCCCAGGUCUCUCCUAUUGGUGCAGGAGCCCAAGCACUUGGGCCAUCCUCCACUCCCCUCCCAGGUGCACAAGCAAGGAGUUGGAUUGGAAGUGGACCAGCUGGGACUUGACCUGAUGCCCAUAUGGGAUGUCUGGCAUUGAAGGCAGCAGCUUAACCUGUUACGCCAAAUGUCAGCUCCCCAAACUGUUUUUCUUUAAAAAUUGUAGUGUUUAUUGAACAUAUUUUUCUUACUCAAGUGACCAUUUUACAUUUCUUUCUAGAAAAAAAAAUCCUCCAAAAUUAAGAUUACCUGCAAGAUGUUUUUCAUUUCUUCCCAUUCAUUACUUCUCUCAAUAGAAAACAAAAGACCACUCUCUUAAGCCUAAAAAGCAUUCACAUAGUGAAUCCAACAAGGCUACCAAGUGGGCUUGCACGCUGCCUUUCUCUGUCAAGAGACACUGCCACAGGCAGCAACUGGUGGCUGCCGAUCAGCUGCCUGCCUUCCUGGCGUGGGAGCAGAAGCAGUCACCAGUUGUGCCAGCAUCAGCUUUCACCUGGAAUUGCGUGUAUUCAACAUGGAUUAAGUAACAGUAGUAUCCGAAGCACUUAAUUAUCAGGUACUAAAAUAUUCACUUUAAAUGUGGCAGAGAGACAGGUUUUCCAUUCUUGCUUUACUUCCCUAAUGCCUAAAACAGCUAGGAAUGGACCAGGCCAAAGCCAGGCGGCAGGAACUUGAUCUAGGUCUUCACGUGGGUGGCAGGGACCCAACUACUUAGGCUGUGACCUGCCGCCCCCAGGGUGCACUUGAGAAGGAAGCUGGGCUUGAACCCAGCACUCUGAUACGGGCUGUGGGACCCACGCACUGUCUUCACUGCAGAGCAAAACCCUGCCCCACAUUCGAGCUUUGUUUUUGAAACAGAAGGGCAUCAGAGGUCCUAAAAGUGUUGAGACAUAAAGGUCUCAAGGAGGAGGCAUUGCUGUGUUAUUGCUUCUAAUUUAAUUGAAGAAAACUAAUAGUCCAUAGAGGCCUUAUCAAUAAGCAGUCAAAUAAAACUAUACAGUACAUGGAUUUCUAAUAGCUUCAGGUCAAUUUUAUAGGUCCCCUUAUUCUGAAAACUGUACAUGUUAGUAAAAAGUCAUACUUGAAAAAUUGAAGUGCACUGAAACUUUUAUUAACAGGAGCAGAGGCUUCCGUUCUACCUGGAUGAGUUUCUGUUCUGUUCUAACCAGAUGAGGGUUAUCGCUGACCCAAAUAUCCCCAUCACAUGUCCCCCGGCCAUCACCCCUGACGUGGGAUUUUUCAGAACAUCAUUAGAAAUGUAAAAAUGUUAAAUCCUGCUACAAACUUGAUACUUUAAAAACUGCCCAGUUAUUUGAUAUGUUAUCAUGAGUAAAGAAGAAACAUGGAUUAAAUAACCAACGUACUGUUCA